rnacentral:rRNA from 1 species
UACGUAGGUGGCGAGCGUUGUCCGGAUUUACUGGGCGUAAAGAGCGCGCAGGCGGCUGGUCAAGUCCGAUGUGAAAGCUCCCGGCUUAACUGGGAAAUUGCAUCGGAAACUGAUCGGCUGGAAGGUGGGAGAGGGUAGCGGAAUUCCCGGUGUAGUGGUGAAAUGCGUAGAUAUCGGGAGGAACACCAGAGGCGAAGGCGGCUUUCUGGCCUGUAACUGACGCUGAGGCGCGAAGGCUGGGGUAGCGAACAGG